AGACUUGUUGAUAUUUGGUCCCAAAUGGGAUAAGAACCCAAAACCAUUACUUUGAGGCAGUGAAUGGCUGGAUUAAGUUAUUUUGGGUUAGAAUAUGUAAUAAUACAAUGAAUUUGAUUGAUUACAAGUGCUAGAGAUGCAUGAAGAAUGUUUAAAAGUAAGAAGAAAGACUUGUUGAUAUUUGGUCCCGAAUAGGAUAAGAA
rnacentral:lncRNA from 1 species